rnacentral:rRNA from 1 species
UACGAAGGGGGCUAGCGUUGUUCGGAAUCACUGGGCGUAAAGCGCACGUAGGCGGAUUGCUAAGUCAGGGGUGAAAUCCUGGAGCUCAACUCCAGAACUGCCUUUGAUACUGGCGAUCUUGAGUCCGGGAGAGGUGAGUGGAACUGCGAGUGUAGAGGUGAAAUUCGUAGAUAUUCGCAAGAACACCAGUGGCGAAGGCGGCUCACUGGCCCGAUACUGACGCUGAGGCACGAAAGCGUGGGGAGCAAACAGG